rnacentral:rRNA from 1 species
AUUGAACGCUGGCGGCAUGCUUUACACAUGCAAGUCGAACGGUAACAGGGAGCUUGCUCCGCUGACGAGUGGCGAACGGGUGAGUAAUGCGUCGGAACGUGCCGAGUAGUGGGGGAUAACGCAUCGAAAGGUGUGCUAAUACCGCAUACGUACUGAGGUAGAAAGUGGGGGACCUUCGGGCCUCACGCUAUUCGAGCGGCCGACGUCUGAUUAGCUAGUUGGUGAGGUAAAGGCUCACCAAGGCGACGAUCAGUAGCGGGUCUGCGAGGAUGAUCCGCCACCCUGGGACUGAGACACGGCCCAGAAUCCUACGGGAGGCAGCAGUGGGGAAUUUUGGACAAGGGGAGCAAGCCUGAUCCGGCCAUGCCGCGUGUCUGAAGAAGGCCUUCGGGUUGUAAAGGACUUUUGUCCGGGAGCAAAUGCCUGGUGUUAAUAGCACUGGGAGCUGAGAGUACCGGAAGAAUAAGCACCGGCUAACUACGUGCCAGCCGCCGCUGUAACAC